rnacentral:tRNA from 3 species
GCGCCCUUAGCUCAGCUGGAUAGAGUGCUUGGCUUCGAACCAAGAGGUCGUAGGUUCGAGUCCUACAGGGCGCG